GCUGCUUUGAUUUUGUUGCCCAAUCUACUGAGAUGGAUACAUUGUUGACAGCCUGCUACAGGGCCUCAAAGGCCAAGAUGUCUGGUAUAAGUGGACAUUGCUGCUCAAAUAAAACGUCUCGUAAUGGCGGACGGAGGGAGUACAAAUCCUGUAGCAUUGUAAUUAAACAUACGCAAACAGGCAUCGAAGCAAAACAACGCGACAAAUCUCCGUUUUACUUACACGCGACACGGGAGUGAAUGAUCAUCAAUGUACAAUUACAGCUAGCAGGCAACUGCUCGAGAACGGCCUUUCUGUCUGAAUCGAUUUUUUUUCUUUCCUUUUUACAUGGAACCUUUCUUACGCAUGCUGGAUAUGGGGAGUCGUGCGAGUCGAUAAAAUAGAACUGUAUGGUUAAGAAAUCCGACGUAUGCGAUGACCUCAUUUAAGCUAAGUACAAUCCCUCCUCUUGUGUUUUUUGCAUGUGCUUGGUCGAUCGUAUAUUGAACACAAAAAAACUGCAACGUGCAUGGACUCGGGUCAAAAACAAUUGCACAUAUAUGGACCGCACACCCAAUUAUAUGAGGACUAUAAGCAUGAUCCACAAGAGAUUAAUUAUAGCUCCAGUGACUAACUAUACAUUGGCACAAUUGAGUAAACUAAAAAAGUACUCUUAAUAUAACCACAACUG
rnacentral:lncRNA from 1 species